AUGUACAGCUUAAUGCACACAUAUUUGCGGCGUUGAACAUCAAGCAUGCCAUCACAAGUGCAUACCAUUCCCAGUCAAACGGCCAAGAUGAGAGAACUAAUCAAAAUAUAAAGAGGACUCUCAGAAAAUAUGUUAAUCAGCACCAUGAUGAUUGGGACAUCCACUUGCAGGCCAUAGUUUAUGGAAUAAACACUGCAAAACAGAGAUCAACCAAGUACAGCUCGUACUUUUUAAUGUACAAUAGGCACCCCCGUCUACCACAGGCAUUAAAUGUCUGUGAGACAGACGCUGCCUUUGAAUUGGCGGACCCAGAGGGGGAGCUGGAGCUAAAACUAGCUGGAGUCAAGGCCCUCAAUGA